UACGUAGGGGGCGAGCGUUGUCCGGAUUUAUUGGGCGUAAAGAGCUCGUAGGCGGUUCGGUAAGUCGAAUGUGAAAUCUCCACGCUCAACGUGGAGUGGUCAUUCGAAACUGCCGUGACUUGAGUACGGUAGGGGAGUGUGGAAUUCCCGGUGUAGCGGUGAAAUGCGCAGAGAUCGGGAGGAACACCCGUAGCGAAGGCGGCACUCUGGGCCGAUACUGACGCUGAGGAGCGAAAGCGUGGGGAGCAAACAGG
rnacentral:rRNA from 1 species